UACGGAGGGCGCAAGCGUUGUUCGGCAUCAUUGGGCGUAAAGCGCGUGUCGGCGGCUUGGCAAGUCGAGUGUGAAAGCCCGGGGCUCAACCCCGGAAGGUCGCUCGAAACUGCCUCGCUAGAGUCCCGGAGAGGAAGGCGGAAUUCCCGGUGUAGAGGUGAAAUUCGUAGAUAUCGGGAGGAACACCAGCGGCGAAGGCGGCCUUCUGGACGGUGACUGACGCUGAGACGCGAAGGCGUGGGGAGCAAAUAGG
rnacentral:rRNA from 1 species